CAAAGUCCCUGAGAGAUUUAUGACCUUCCCGAUAGUUUACUGCUUUCGGCAUUGUGUGAGAGAGCGGUGGAACUUCAGCUUGGGAAACAGAAAAUGACAGGGAAGUGUUACCUCAGGUCCUGAGGCCUAGGACCAUGCCUCAGGACUACCUGGCCUGACAACUCCUGGUUGUCCCCAUCCCUAGGCCACCUGGUCGUGCUGCUGACCCAGUUUCUGCUGUUCUGCCUGUAGCCAUGGAACCCUGACCUGUUCACCGGACCCCUCCCCUGCACAUGCUCUCUCAACCUCUAAAUACUUGGCUAUGAAAAGCCAACUGACAUUAAUUCCUGAGGCGCUGACCUCUUGCACUUUCUACAACCACUGUGAUUAUUAUUUGACCCUGCUGGUCUCCAAUGAACAUUUGAACACCUUGAAGAAAUAUCUGGCCUUAAUGGCCAUGUACUCUUAUCUCCACCCGGCACAGCCAGAAGUGGAUUUCCACCCCUUAGAAUCUGGUUCCUCUAGGUUUCUUCUUAGGUUCCCUCCUUUCUAAGGAGUUUACAUAGCCACCGUGCCUCUAUAUCUGCAUUGAUUGUUCUCCGAGGGUUUUACGCUUGGUGUCUGUAUAAGCACUUUGUGACAACUGCGGUUGUAAAAAGGGUUCUAUAAAUACAUUUGAUUGAUUGAUGUAGUGUUAUAGAAUGUGGCUGGUUACAGUGGUUCAUUUGUGCAUUCUCAUAUAAAUGACAGUUUAAAGGGA